UACGUAGGGUGCAAGCGUUGUCCGGAAUUAUUGGGCGUAAAGAGCUCGUAGGCGGUUGUCGCGUCUGCUGUGAAAACUGGAGGCUCAACCUCCAGCCUGCAGUGGGUACGGGCAGACUAGAGUGCGGUAGGGGAGAUUGGAAUUCCUGGUGUAGCGGUGGAAUGCGCAGAUAUCAGGAGGAACACCGAUGGCGAAGGCAGAUCUCUGGGCCGUAACUGACGCUGAGGAGCGAAAGCGUGGGGAGCGAACAGG
rnacentral:rRNA from 1 species